rnacentral:rRNA from 1 species
UACGGAGGGUGCGAGCGUUGUCCGGAAUCAUUGGGCGUAAAGGGCGCGUAGGUGGCCCGGUCAGCGUGCGGUGAAAGCUCGGGGCUCAACCCCGAGUCGGCCGUGCGAACUGCUGGGCUUGAGCACUGUAGAGGCAGGCGGAAUUCCGGGUGUAGCGGUGGAAUGCGUAGAGAUCCGGAAGAACACCGGUGGCGAAGGCGGUCGACUGGGCCAGAACUGACGCUGAGGCGCGACAGCGUGGGGAGCAAACAGG